UGGGGAAUAUUGGACAAUGGGGGCAACCCUGAUCCAGCAAUGCCGCGUGAGUGAUGAAGGCCUUAGGGUUGUAAAGCUCUUUUAGCAGGGAAGAUAAUGACGGUACCUGCAGAAUAAGCCCCGGCUAACUUCGUGCCAGCAGCCGCGGUAAUACGAAGGGGGCUAGCGUUGUUCGGAAUUACUGGGCGUAAAGCGCACGUAGGCGGAUUGAUAAGUUAGAGGUGAAAUCCCGGGGCUCAACCUCGGAACUGCCUUUGAUACUGUUAGUCUCGAGUCCGAUAGAGGUGAGUGGAAUUCCUAGUGUAGAGGUGAAAUUCGUAGAUAUUAGGAAGAACACCAGUGGCGAAGGCGGCUCACUGGAUCGGUACUGACGCUGAGGUGCGAAAGCGUGGGGAGCAAACAGGAUUAGAUACCCGCGUAGUCCCUGAGCGGGCUGGCAAGGCGCAU
rnacentral:rRNA from 1 species